rnacentral:rRNA from 1 species
CAGCAGCCGCGGGAAAACGUAGGUGGCAAGCGUUGUCCGGAAUUAUUGGGCGUAAAGGGCUCGCAGGCGGUUUCUUAAGUCUGAUGUGAAAGCCCCCGGCUCAACCGGGGAGAGUCAUUGGAAACUGGGAAACUUGAGUGCAGAAGAGGAGAGUGGAAUUCCACGUGUAGCGGUGAAAUGCGUAGAGAUGUGGAGGAACACCAGUGGCGAAGGCGACUCUCUGGUCUGUAACUGACGCUGAGGAGCGAAAGCGUGGGGAGCGAACAGGAUUAGAUACCCCGGUAGUCCCUGUCUCUUAUAC